AAACGCUGGCGGCGCACAUAAGACAUGCAAGUACGAACGAAAGUCGUUUUAGGGAAUUGGAGUGAAAGAUUUAUCCGGAACGAAGAUGAACUAAACAAUGGCUUUAGUGGCGGACUGGUGAGUAACACGUAAGCAACCUGCCUGUUAGAGGGGAAUAACAACGAGAAAUCGUUGCUAAUACCGCAUAUGCCAUAGGGACCACAUGGUUCUAGUGGGAAAGGAGUAAUCCGCUAACAGAUGGGCUUGCGUCUGAUUAGAUAGUUGGUGGGGUAACGGCCUACCAAGUCGACGAUCAGUAGCCGGACUGAGAGGUUCAACGGCCACAUUGGGACUGAGAUACGGCCCAGACUCCUACGGGAGGCAGCAGUCGGGAAUAUUGCGCAAUGGAGGGAACUCUGACGCAGUGACGCCGCGUAUAGGAAGAAGGUCUUCGGAUUGUAAACUUUUGUCCUAUGGGAAGAAACAAAUGACGGUACCAUAGGAGGAAGCCACGGCUAACUACGUG
rnacentral:rRNA from 1 species